GGCCGUUUAGCUCAGCUGGUUAGAGCGUCGUGCUAACAACGCGAAGGUCUUGGGUUCAUAACAGAUCUUGGUUG